UAUCUCAUGGUUGAUCUCCUGAGCUCUGGCGACGACGGCACUGCGCACGGUUGCUGCGUACGGACCCACCCUCUCCAGGACGGGGUCCACGUAACCCGCCAGGGCAGAUUGCAAUGCUUUGCCAAGCUCUUCUAUGUUAUGCCUUCUAUGUCUCUGCAGGUCAAACAGGGCAGUGAUAGCCUUCUCCGCAACCUGGUAUGGCACCCCGAAAACCAGAUCAAAAGCUUCCACGACCUCAUCAGAAAUAACAUCUCCUCUUUUCUACAUGGGAAGAGAGCAGCGCAGAGCGGAAACGAGUCUAAUUUGCUUACGAAAUCUCCCGGCCCUCCUCUGUUCUGUCAACGAUGGUGGAACACAAGGCAGCUGCUAGCCUGA
rnacentral:lncRNA from 1 species